rnacentral:rRNA from 1 species
UACGGAGGGAGCUAGCGUUGUUCGGAAUUACUGGGCGUAAAGCGCACGUAGGCGGCUAUUCAAGUCGGGGGUGAAAGCCCGGGCUCAACCCCGGAACUGCCUCGAAACUAGGUAGCUAGAAUCUUGGAGAGGUCAGUGGAAUUCCGAGUGUAGAGGUGAAAUUCGUAGAUAUUCGGAAGAACACCAAUAGCGAAGGCAGC